CAAGCCUAGUGUUUGCUUGUGCGGCGUUGUCUGCUGGAAUGCUGCUUUUCCCGUACCCGGAAAGAGCAGGAAAUCGGAAACCUUGUUUGAUACUGCGAAGGAGGAAGAAAGGAAGAAAAACAGCGAGAAAGAAACACUAGCUCUGGCAAUUAAUGGACCUUUUGGUUGGCAGUCGGCUUGUCUCCAGCAUUUCAGAGCCCGGCUGAGCGGGCCAAGAGCAGGAGGGUGGGUAUAGGACAGCUAGGCCCUCUGUCUCCUUGUGUAAAAGAGGUGCGUUCUCUAGGCACAGGAUAGAAAGCAGGGAUCUGUUAUCAGACUAUCUUGAAGGAGGUAGCAGAGGCAUAAAAAAAGUCCACACAAGGAUUCCCAUACUGCAGCUGGUGCAGACAAAUCUUAUGUUCCAGCUACAAACACUCCAUAGAACUGCAUCAUUCGUCAUACUGCGGGUUUCAGCACCAGUGUUUAACCAUUUUAUGAUUCACACCUUCCUGCAGAGGUCUGCAGUGCCAUGGUUACCGUACAUCUACUGAACAGCUCAGAGGCCUUACAGAACUGCUGAUUUUUACAGAGACUGCAGAGAAUGCUCAUAGUUCAGCAACUGCAAAGAACGACACCUUGGGAGCACUGCUACACACAGCCUGUUGGCAUUUUAACCUUCACACCCCACCCUCCUAGUGAAAUUCUCCGUUCAAAGUUCCAGUAGCUGCAUAGUGCUACUGUUCAUUGUGGGCAAAGUUCAUGGCUUCAAAGACCUUAAAGAAUUUGUGGGUUAUUGCAGAAACACUAGCCACUGAAAUGCCCCCCAGACUCAUGCCAUUGCUGCAAAGGAAGCUUGCAAACCAGUAUGGCAAUGGCCUUAUGAAGAUGCUACAUGAUUGUCAUGUAUUUUGAAUGUUUAUUAAGUGCUUUGCUGAAUGUAAACAUGGUGGUCAUCCAAGGCUGCAAAGAAAGAGAAGAGUGAGCCAACCAAUUCUCUGAGAUGCUCAACAAUGUGGAAGGAGCUAACAGUGGGCCUGUUAGCUGAAGGAGCAAGAAGCAAAGAAGUAGCUGAUAAGGAGCUGUCUUCAAGGCUGUAACCAAGGAGACCAAGAGAAGUGAGGAACAGAAGAAAGACGAGAACUUCGCAGCUGGAUGGAGUAUUUUUAGUAAGUUAGUUAAGUCACUGUAACUUUUCACCAAUGGUGUUAUGUUGAUUUAUUGUGGCCAAUAGUUAAGGUAGAAGAAGUAUAAACUAUCACAGAGUGUAUAAAAAGUCGGACAUAUUUCGUAUUAAAGAGUUGCCAAAUGA